AGGAAAAAGUUAUUGAUAAUGAAAAGGAAAUGAUCUGAAAUGUUUGGUCUAGAGGGCUACUCCAUGUCAGAGGCAAAGUUGCCUCUGCUUCCUGAAUAUAUUAUGCCUUUGAAUAUACUGCGUUACUGAUUUACUGGCAAAGAAGGCUUUAUUUAAACACCCCUAUCUGGUGACUUAGUCCAUUUUCUUUGCAUCUGAUGAUAACAUCUGGCAGCACCCUCAGUUCCCAAGCUCUACCGUCAUGUACCUUUUGACAACAAGAUGGUGGGUGGCAACUCCAGGCUUUUAGCCCUUCAUUUCGGUGACCCCGAUGCAAAGAAAGCACUUUUGUCCCCCAGCAUUACGCCAGAUUAAGUUUGACUCUGUUUUGCCAAGCUUGUGUCACAUGUUUGCUCCUGAGCCAAUCAUAGUGUUCAGGUGGUUUUGUGGCUCUGAUUGGUCAGCCCUUAGGUGGGAGUGAGUCAACCUUACCCGUAUCAAAUGUAUGGAGGAAAUUCCAAGAAAAAUCAACCUGUUGAUACCAGAAGAGGGAGAAAUGGCUGAUAGGCAGGCAAAAAUCUACUGUACUGGUGGUUGUUAGGAACAGAGUAUGGGGCCAGAUACAGCUUGAUCAAUCAAUGACUGUUUUCUCACUUGUAAAGUGGAAAUAAUAAUAAUGCCUGUUUGAGUUGGAAUGGAUAAAUAAAUGCCACACCUUUUUCUUAACCAAA
rnacentral:sRNA from 1 species